rnacentral:rRNA from 1 species
GAUGAACGCUGGCGGCGUGCCUAAUACAUGCAAGUCGAGCGAACGGACGAGAAGCUUGCUUCUCUGAUGUUAGCGGCGGACGGGUGAGUAACACGUGGAUAACCUACCUAUAAGACUGGGAUAACUUCGGGAAACCGGAGCUAAUACCGGAUAAUAUUUUGAACCGCAUGGUUCAAAAGUGAAAGACGGUCUUGCUGUCACUUAUAGAUGGAUCCGCGCUGCAUUAGCUAGUUGGUAAGGUAACGGCUUACCAAGGCAACGAUGCAUAGCCGACCUGAGAGGGUGAUCGGCCACACUGGAACUGAGACACGGUCCAGACUCCUACGGGAGGCAGCAGUAGGGAAUCUUCCGCAAUGGGCGAAAGCCUGACGGAGCAACGCCGCGUGAGUGAUGAAGGUCUUCGGAUCGUAAAACUCUGUUAUUAGGGAAGAACAUAUGUGUAAGUAACUGUGCACAUCUUGACGGUACCUAAUCAGAAAGCCACGGCUAACUACGUGCCAGCAGCCGCGGUAAUACGUAGGUGGCAAGCGUUAUCCGGAAUUAUUGGGCGUAAAGCGCGCGUAGGCGGUUUUUUAAGUCUGAUGUGAAAGCCCACGGCUCAACCGUGGAGGGUCAUUGGAAACUGGAAAACUUGAGUGCAGAAGAGGAAAGUGGAAUUCCAUGUGUAGCGGUGAAAUGCGCAGAGAUAUGGAGGAACACCAGUGGCGAAGGCGACUUUCUGGUCUGUAACUGACGCUGAUGUGCGAAAGCGUGGGGAUCAAACAGGAUUAGAUACCCUGGUAGUCCACGCCGUAAACGAUGAGUGCUAAGUGUUAGGGGGUUUCCGCCCCUUAGUGCUGCAGCUAACGCAUUAAGCACUCCGCCUGGGGAGUACGACCGCAAGGUUGAAACUCAAAGGAAUUGACGGGGACCCGCACAAGCGGUGGAGCAUGUGGUUUAAUUCGAAGCAACGCGAAGAACCUUACCAAAUCUUGACAUCCUUUGACAACUCUAGAGAUAGAGCUUUCCCCUUCGGGGGACAAAGUGACAGGUGGUGCAUGGUUGUCGUCAGCUCGUGUCGUGAGAUGUUGGGUUAAGUCCCGCAACGAGCGCAACCCUUAAGCUUAGUUGCCAUCAUUAAGUUGGGCACUCUAAGUUGACUGCCGGUGACAAACCGGAGGAAGGUGGGGAUGACGUCAAAUCAUCAUGCCCCUUAUGAUUUGGGCUACACACGUGCUACAAUGGACAAUACAAAGGGCAGCGAAACCGCGAGGUCAAGCAAAUCCCAUAAAGUCGUUCUCAGUUCGGAUUGUAGUCUGCAACUCGACUACAUGAAGCUGGAAUCGCUAGUAAUCGUAGAUCAGCAUGCUACGGUGAAUACGUUCCCGGGUCU